rnacentral:rRNA from 1 species
AAGUAUGCUUCAGAUCUUUACUUGAAAAAUUAGAGUGUCAAAGCAGGCAUUAAUGCUGUGAAUACAUUAGCAUGGAAUAAUAAGAUAGGGCUUUGGUUCUAUUUUGUUGGUUUCUAGGACUGAAGUAAUGAUUGAUAGGGACAUUGGGGGUGCUAGUAUUCAACGGCCAGAGGUGAAAUUCUCGGAUUCGUUGAAGACUAACUAAUGCGAAAGCAUUCACCAAGGAUGUCUUCUUUAAUCAAGAACGAAAGUUGGGGGAUCGAAGACGAUCAGAUACCGUCGUAGUCUCAACCAUAAACUAUGCCGACUCGGGAUUGGUGAUUGUUGAAUUUGACAUCAUCAGCACCGUAUGAGAAAUCAAAGUCUUUGGGUUCCGGGGGAGUAUGGUCGCAAGGCUGAAACUUAAAGGAAUUGACGGUAAGGGCACA